CAGAAACUGACCAACAGCGUUCCGGAUGCUGCUAUCAUAAUUGUUGUGAAGAUACGUUAUUGCGCAGUGUGGCACGGGUAUGCGCACCUUGCCAUCAACGACCGAUGUCUGAGACGGAUGCGGGUUCAGGUGUGUCUUGGCUGAGGGGAGCGCCGAUGCAGCGGCAUAGCGCUCCGUUGUGGGUCGGUGAUGGCUCCCCCAUCGCGGAACCGGGAUGGCGUAGCUGGUGCUGGGACGUUCCGCAUCGGUAGCGACAUCAGCGCGGCAGAAGCCCACCACGCAUGGCCGGGUACGCGUGGGCACUUCUAUUAUGAUGAAGGCUGGAGGUAAUCGCUGCAUAGGAUUGAGAACCAACUGUCAGCAUUUUCUAACUUUGCAAUUACAACAUGCAGGGCUUUUUGCACUGAAGGAUUUCAAAUUACAUAAGCUUAUGAUAAGUACAAAGUGCUGUAGAGAACUUCUUCACCAAAUAAUAGUCGCUUGCACGGCGUGGCCCUUUGCGACAGGGGUCACUCUAGCCAUCCGGGAAAAUGUCUUGCAUACAGCCUGGUCAUUUUUGCUGCGAAGAAAUUUAUUGAUCAACGUAUUUAUAUUUCUUGCGUGGUCAACCAAGCCGAAAAUAGUAUUCCAACUGUUCCGUUAGGACUGCGCGGUUGGCAACUUUCUU
rnacentral:lncRNA from 1 species